rnacentral:rRNA from 1 species
GACGAACCGUCCUAGCGUUGUUCGGAUUCACUGGGCUUAAAGGGCGCGUAGGCGGGUGAGCAAGUCCGGGGUGAAAUCUUUCGGCUUAACCGGAAAACUGCCUUGGAUACUGCUCGUCUAGAGGGAGGUAGGGGUCUGCGGAACUUCCGGUGGAGCGGUGAAAUGCGUUGAUAUCUGGAGGAACACCGGUGGCGAAGGCGGCAUCCUGGACCGAGAUUGACGCUGAGGCGCGAAAGCCAGGGGAGCAAACGGG